UUCUGAUCUACAGGGUCUGUCUUUUGAAAACAACAACAACAACAACAACAACAAAAAAAAACCAAAAAAACCUACCUCAGCCACCAGCAGCUGGUGACAACUAGCUUGGGAGCUCUGGCUCUCCUAAACCCUACCUGAUUGCCCCAAACACUAAAAAGAUCAAUAAUCCGUGCCUACUUCUAAUCCACUGAAAGCACCCCAGUGUGUCAGGACCCAUGGACUGGAAAGCUCUGCUUUAUCUAUGAAAUCUUUCACUAGAAUUCCAUGAGGAGAUGGCAGGAAAUUUUGCCAUUUGAGGCCUUCAGAAGAAGGAUGUCUCACUGGCACUCUUGCUUGCUGUCUUUCAACCCCUCUCUCUAAAGUGCUCCCAGUAUUUGUUCUUCAGCCCCUCCAGCAUUCCCACUUCUUUGGGAAACUGUACUCGUGUCCUCAAGAGAAGGUUUUGGUUUCUUCAUCUGAGUAGAGAUGGAUGCUUACCACUACCCAGGGCAGCCAGGCUUUGAGGCUGAAGCUUAUGGGUGGCGUGACCUGCCUACUGCUGAGUACAGCAGUACUUCUGUUCCUACCCCCAAUACUUAGAGAGGUUUCUGCGCCAGCAUAUGUUUCAGCCACUAUGGCACCCAGGAUGGGGUUGGACUGCUGGACUCCUAGCAAUGCUGUGUUUUAGCAACAGGGACAACAGCUGAAGAAAACAUUUCCUAGGUGGACUGAGCGGGCUUCCAGCUUUCUUUCCUCAAGUUGACAGAAGCCAGUACUGACCCUUUGAAAUGAGUAUGACCCCUGAGUUUCAUAGGACCCUUGCAAGAGGAGGCACCCUAGAGAGUGAAGAAGCAUAUUCUAAUGAUGGAAACAUCUGAAUUCAUAGCACACAUAGCUCCUGACCCGCAGCCAAAUGUGUCUUUGAACUGGACUUUGGUUUCAACUGCCAAUCGCUUUGUACACAAAUGUUAUUGAUUCCCUCCAGAGGCAGCCAUGUGUGGUGGAAGAAACGGCAUGAGGCUGGAGCUCCCUCUCUCCUGGGCCUCGGUUUACCUACAUGCAGAAAGAGGACAGCCUUUCGAUUCCAACAGAAAAUCAGAAGGCUCCUUCCACCUUCUGAUUGGAGUGCAGAGCCUUUGUGUGGUUUGUGCGGUGGGCGUGGCUGUUCCAAACCAAAGGGCAGGGACAGGAUGCAGUCUGAUGAUCAGGGACAGAGGAGGAGUGGCUGAGCAGCCCUGCGCAUUGUGGGUUCCUCACUCCUUGGCCCUAGAUUUCCCAGGCUGUUUAAGUUCAUGAUCCUAGGGCACCGCCUGUCCGCCCCCCCACCCCCCACCGUCACACACCCCAUGCCAUUCAGGGUUUCUUUCCCAGGGUCGGCUUUAAAGCCAGCGGAAGAUUUUCAGAGGUCUCGGAUCUUCUUAUUUCUUACCCUCUUGACAUCUGACGCCUGAAAAGAACUUGGGUUGCCUGCCUAGGCAGGCUUCCGGAGGCCACAGGCUUCUGUGUCUUCCGGGGCGGGGGGCAGAAGGGUGCCCGAGCCGGCGCAGGCGGCCAUUGUUUGGGUAUUGACUCAAAGGAGCGGGAGCCACAAUGCACAGGAAAAAGGAUGAGCUCAUGACUGCUAAAUGAAAAGAUUCUUAUCUUGGAAACAGCGGUUUCUUAUGCAAAACAGGGGGCGGCAAUGUGAUUGUGCCCCGCGGAGUACAUUCAACAACAGGGAUUUCAAAUGAAGAAGCUAUUUUGCAUACCUACGGGAGCAGCAAUGGGCCAGAUUGUUCAUUAAUUAAAAAGGGGGGGGGGCGGGCGCCGGAAAAACCCACGCUCGCACUUGCCGCUGAACCGAAAUAAUUCAUUUGCCUUCCUCU